rnacentral:misc_RNA from 2 species
CAGAGUUGCAAGACUCCCAAACCAUUGUGAACGUACCCGAAACCGUUGCUUCGGCGGGCGGCCCCGGAUCUCCCGGGCGCCCCUGGGCCCUCGCGGGCGCCCGCCGGAGGCACACAAACCCUGUACCUUGCAUGGCCUCUCUGAGUCUUACUUUUAAAUAAGUCA